rnacentral:rRNA from 1 species
CCUACGGGUGGCAGCAGUGGGGAAUAUUGGACAAUGGGCGAAAGCCUGAUCCAGCCAUGCCGCGUGUGUGAAGAAGGCCUUCGGGUUGUAAAGCACUUUCAGUGGGGAAGAAAGCCUUGGGGCUAAUACCCUCGAGGAAGGACAUCACCCACAGAAGAAGCACCGGCUAACUCCGUGCCAGCAGCCGCGGUAAUACGGAGGGUGCGAGCGGUAAUCGGAAUUACUGGGCGUAAAGCGCGCGUAGGCGGUCUGAUAAGCCGGUUGUGAAAGCCCCGGGCUCAACCUGGGAACGGCACCCGGAACUGUCAGGCUAGAGUGCAGGAGAGGAAGGUAGAAUUCCCGGUGUAGCGGUGAAAUGCGUAGAGAUCGGGAGGAAUACCAGUGGCGAAGGCGGCCUUCUGGACUGACACUGACGCUGAGGUGCGAAAGCGUGGGUAGCAAACAGGAUUAGAUACCCUUGUAGUC